AGGCAGCAUUGAAAGCUUUCCAAAAAGAUGUAGAAAAAGAUCCUUCGUUACAUGACGAAUAUACAAAAGAAUUGGCUAGGAAAGCCGUGGCAAAACAAAACGAAGUGCAGAGACCUCCUACGCCCCCUAAACCAUUAAAGCCAAAAACUUGGUACGAAGCCAGAUCGCCAGAAGGUCAUACUUACUAUUGGAAUCUUGAAACUGGAAAAUCUCAAUGGAAAACGCCAAAAAAAUUUAUUCCACUACCACCUGAGGACGAAACACACAAUAUUGCUACGACUUCAAAUUGUUAUUCGGAUCUUAGUAUUGUCGGACCGCAGUCGAAGCCAGAACCGUACGGAAAAUGGAUGCCGGUUGUUAAAGAAGAGUAAGUAUCUUUUCUUAUGAGUUUUAUAUACACUAUUAUCAAAAGUAUUUUGUAAUCCUGUCUAAUUAACUAAUUAUUGGCCGUAAUCAUACGAUGUAGUUUGGUUUAGUUAAUUAGAUUUAUAGUACUGUUCAAAACUCUCACACCAUGCUAAAUUUUGAAGGUUUUAUCAGUUUUUCAAACUACAAUUGGAUUUAAAUUUUGGCAAUAAUUACUUGAAAUUUAAAAAUUUAUUAUAAUAUUAAACCACAACAGUAAACAAAAACAUUUUUAUUUUAUGGUCGGUGCUCCUUACAGUCAUUUUUAAUCACUUUUACGUACUGGCCAAUUUGAUAUAAAUAAUUGUAAAAAUCUUUGUUCUUAAUUACUCCAUGCCAGAAAGGGCCAGACAGGUUAACAAGUUUUUUGAGUAGUUCAACCAAAAUCGUACAAUGCCAAGCACUAAAAAGAUGGUUUCCAUCAAUUUCCUUUUGUUGGUGGGAUAUUUUUGUGGACGCUUUUUGCCCCCAUGCCAUCCAAUCCAGUCGUUAAUACUGUCCAGAGCGACUGUUUCACGAGUUUUGACCAAUGGCAAGGAGCAUUGUCAUUCAUAAAGAUGACAUCUCCAUCUGGAAACAAAUCUUGGCACUUAAUUGCAUUUUCUUUUUGGGUCAUUUGUCAUCCUUUGAACAAUGCCUCCUGCUGCCAUCUGCACAACUGUACCCAACCACUCUGUUACCAACAUUGAGUACUUUAUUGUACAGAGCUCUCUUGGGUGUUUUCUGAUGUAGACUGAUCCAGAAUUGGUUGCAGUUAAGAAGGUCAACUCGUCACUAACAAGUAUUUCCCCAUUGUUGGAGAGACCGGUGAGAAUGUUCUUUUCCCAGGAAAACUUUUGUUUCUUUUGAACUUCACUGAAUGGCGAUUUAUUUUUCGUCUCCAGGUACUCUGAUUUCGAGAAAUCAGCAACAUACUGCAGACACGGAGAACCUCGCAUAAUUUUUUUACAUUAAUUUAAGUCCAUUGUUAGUCUAAGA